rnacentral:rRNA from 1 species
GAUGAACGCUGGCGGCGUGCCUAAUACAUGCAAGUCGAGCGAACAGACGAGGAGCUUGCUCCUCUGACGUUAGCGGCGGACGGGUGAGUAACACGUGGAUAACCUACCUAUAAGACUGGGAUAACUUCGGGAAACCGGAGCUAAUACCGGAUAACAUGUUGAACCGCAUGGUUCAACAGUGAAAGACGGUCUUGCUGUCACUUAUAGAUGGAUCCGCGCCGCAUUAGCUAGUUGGUAAGGUAACGGCUUACCAAGGCAACGAUGCGUAGCCGACCUGAGAGGGUGAUCGGCCACACUGGAACGGAGACACGGUCCAGACUCCUACGGGAGGCAGCAGUAGGGAAUCUUCCGCAAUGGGCGAAAGCCUGACGGAGCAACGCCGCGUGAGUGAAGAAGGUCUUCGGAUCGUAAAACUCUGUUAUUAGGGAAGAACAAAUGUGUAAGUAACUAUGCACGUCUUGACGGUACCUAAUCAGAAAGCCACGGCUAACUACGUG